rnacentral:rRNA from 1 species
GAUGAACGCUGGCGGCGUGCCUAAUACAUGCAAGUCGAGCGAACAGACGAGGAGCUUGCUCCUCUGACGUUAGCGGCGGACGGGUGAGUAACACGUGGAUAACCUACCUAUAAGACUGGGAUAACUUCGGGAAACCGGAGCUAAUACCGGAUAAUAUAUUGAACCGCAUGGUUCAAUAGUGAAAGACGGUUUUGCUGUCACUUAUAGAUGGAUCCGCGCCGCAUUAGCUAGUUGGUAAGGUAACGGCUUACCAAGGCGACGAUGCGUAGCCGACCUGAGAGGGGGAUCCACACCUGGGGAGUGAGGAACCGGCCCAACCCCCAAGGGGAGACACAGGUGGGAAUCCUUCGGGAUGGGGCAAAGGCCUAGCGGGGAAACGCGCGGGAGGGGUGAAAGUUCUAUGACUGGUAAACUCUUUUUGUUGGGGAGAAAAAAAUUUGUUGGAAACGUGGCCAGUUUGACGGUACCCAAAGAAGAAGCCCCGGCUAACUUCGUG